CACCAAAGAAGGCAAUUCUGCAACUUCAAAUGAGCCUAAUUGGUUGUGCGCUCAGGCGUUCACUCAAGCUGCUUCAGUCCAUCAGAGAGAGAUUUCCAACUAAUUGAACAGCUCAGAAGAAAAAGAACCACGGAAAUCACAAUGCACUGGGCCGAUUGAGAGGGUUUUUUCUUGAUAAAAACCUUCAAAAUAAGAUUUUUUUUUUUUUUUUUUUUGAGAAAUCAGCCACCUGUCAAUCUAGAAAGUGGUUUCAUCGGUACAGAAAUUCCUAAUGAGGUAUGGCCUAAAAGUCAGGGUCUAUUAAUAGCAAGCUCUGCAGGUAACUGUACAUUUGUGUUGAAAAUGUUUAUUUUGGAUUGGCAAUGUAUUUUUUUCAGACUGGAAUGCUUAUCUUAAGGCAUAUAAUAAUUAUGUGGUAAUGGACAGACAGAGGAAUGCCAUUCAAGCCAAUCCUAGCGCCAAAGUGUGUAAAGUUAUUCAUGCAUACAAGUGUUGAGACUGGGCUGGGUAAGAUUCUGCUCACAAGGAGGUCAUCUUGGUCGAAGAUUUCCUGAAGAAGAAAGACAUGUGGAAUGAAUUCGACAUUUUAGGAAAAGAAAAGUUAUCAUUCUUGGCCAUGAGCCAGCAGUGUGCCCUGGUGACCAAGAAGGCCAGUGAUAUCCUGGGAUGCAUUAAAAAGAGCGUGGCCAACAGGUCAAGGGAGGUUAUCCUCCCCCUCUACUCUGCCCUGGGGAGGCCCCCUUUAGACUACUGUGUCUAGUUCUGGACUCCUCAGUUCAAAAAGGACAGAGGUCUUCUAGAAGGAGUUCAGCAGGGGGCUGCAAAGAUAAUAAAGGGAAUGGAGCAUCUCUUGUACGAGGAAGACUGAGUAACCUGGAUCUGUUCAGCCUGGAGAAAAGAAGACUGAGAGGGGAUCUGAUAAAUAUUUGUAAUUAUCUAAAGGGAGGCGGGAGACAAAUGGAUGAGUCCAGGCUCUUCUCGGUGGUAUGUAGCAAUAGGACAAGGAGUAAUGGCCUCAAACAUGAACCUAGGAUGUUCUGUACUAACAUGCAGAAGAAUUUCUUCAUGGUGAAGGUGACAGAGCACUGGAACAGGUUGCCCAGGGAGGUUAUGGAUUCUCCUUCUAUGGAAAUAUUCAAGACCCAGCUGGACACCUACCUGUGAGAUGUAUUAUAGGGUACCUGUUUUAGCAGUGGAGUUAAACUUGAUGAUGUCUUGACAUUCCUUCCAACCCCAUCGAUUCUGUGAUCCUCUCUUCCAUAGCCAUACCUUUUUAUAUUUUCACCCCAGAUAAUCAUUGAGAAGAUUGUACUGAUCAGUAAGUUAAUUUUAGUCUAACCAUAACACUGAGCUGAACUUCUACUUACUUUGGUACUUCAAGUAUUUCUUAGCUUACUUAUCUCACUCAGUAUCCAGCAAGAUAUAUUUUUCUUGUCAUUAUUGUAAUACUUGCUAGUUUAUUGAAAAAAGCCUUAUAACGACCAUCAUCUCUUAGAUUGGCAGAGAAAGGAUACUUUUUAAAGACACUGAAUGAGUUAAGGGGAACAGGAAUACUUCUGAUAAUGUUGAGAAUUGAAUUUGGAAAUCUAAAGUGAAUCUCAGACAUGGAAAGUUAUACAAGAUGGACUGGAUUCUGAGGAUUUUGAGAAGCUUAUUCUUAUGCAAAAAUAAUUAUUAUUAUUUUACAAAAAGAAUUUCAGAAAAGGGUUGUUUAGAGUUUUACUGCUUCUGCAGGUAUGAAAUAAAUCAGAUCUUCAAAACUUCACCUGUCACAGAAGACAUCAAUAAAUUUGAUAGAAAUGCUUCAAUUCCUGUCAAAAUGCAUGGGGAAAAGUGCACUAGCAAACAGUGGUUGGAAACCGUCAAAAGCCUCCUGAGCUAUAACAGUGAUGACUGUCAGGGACAUUUAAUGUUUGAACACUGGUGGCAUUCUCAGACUAAGAGAUCCCUGAUGUAUCCCAGCAUGGCUGAUGUAGUAAUUAGUGAUUACCUUACCCACAUCAUACCUUUGGAACAGUGCUAGCCAUAUACUUUACAAUCUUGCCAAAAUAACCUCAAUAGCCAAUAAAUGCGUUGGAAAGGGCAAGAGUUGACAGAUAGAAGGUACAGGUACAUCAUAAAAUGAGUUCACUGUUAACCAGAAAGGAUAGCUGCUUUUUGAAGUUAAUUUAUUCCAUAAAUUAAUGUUACUCUUAUAAAAGAGGUGGGCAAAUAGCUAAUAUUUCGUAAGAGCAGCAGCACUUUAUGUUUCACAUGCAAAGUUUCUCACACAAGCCUGUCCCUCCUGUCCAGCUUUCCUCAUUAUUUCCCAAAAGGCAAUUGGUCUAGUAAAACAAGAAGAGCAGUAGUAUGAGUAUGAAGCCUUUUUCAUCUUUCCUGUGCUCUUUUUUUAAUGGUAUGAGAAGUUAUAUUUGAAUUUGACAAGAAAAAGCAAUAAAGCAAACACUUGGAGCAGGCAGUUUUCUCUUUCCUGUCCUCCUAAAAAUCUUCAAAAACAAUAACAAAAUUAAAUACAGAACAUUAAAUCUAUAUAGCAAAAGUCAAGAAAUCCACAAAGUUUUCAACAACUACUGAUCAGAUUCUCUAAAUAUCGCAUUCAUAAUCCUGUUUCCUUGUUAAAUGUGAAACUUAAUAGGUUAUUGAUUACGCUAUAAAAUCCAUACCAUAAAAUAUAUAAGAUAUGAGCAGUGAUAAUGUUGAGGUAGCUCUUGCAGCAUUAAUUUUUAUGUUUCUUGACUGUGGAUUUUAACUACAAUCUUAAAUGUUAUAUUUUUAUACUGUCAGUUCAUAUAGCUAUUACUGAAAUAAAUUGCAGUUACCUUUAGCAUUUACCAACAGACAUAUUUUCCUCUAGAAAAGUAUGACAAUGGUAUUUUCAUUCAAAAUUUGUUGUGACAGUUAUGGCAAACCUGGAUAGUAACAGUCUUACUGGCAGGAUGCUUAUCUUUUUUACUAGUUCAGAAAGAUCUGAUUGAUGUGAGAGAUCAAGGUCUCUCUAAAGAUAAUUUAGCCAUUUCCAUACAGUUUACGCUUGUGUUAGCUGUAUCCUGCAAGGGAACUCCCAGGAGGAUUUUCUCUGACCUUCCCUCUAAAAGGUAACACAUAAGAGAUUCCUAAAGGAACCAUCAUCUAACAAGACUAAUGAUAGCUUCCAUGCCUAUUAUCAUUCAGUGAGAGUGAAAGAGACUUUAAAAAUGCAGUACCACAUUCCUCCCUUGAUGUUUCUCAUGAUCUAUUAAGGUAUUAGAUGCCAGAUAAAUUAAUCAUUAAAAACUUACAGUUAAGACUUUACAAAUAAUAACCAGGUGUACUUUGAUUAUUUUUUAUCUCACUAUAUAUAUUUAUAUAUUUCUGUCACUAAGCACAAACCACAAAAACGAAUUUGUUUAUUAAUGGCUAAUGGCUAGAUAAAGUUCAUGAAAAGGACUGAAUUCUCCAGCCUUUCAAUGUGUUGGAAAGUCAGGAGGAUUACAGAAAAACAUCCCUUAUUUAUUUUUGAAACAGCUAAUGAUUUGUCACUCAGCUAUCCUUUCAAGCUAUUUUGGUGAGUGUGAGCUACUGUGAUGACUUUUAAUUAGUUCAUAUAGCCUAGUAUUUGAUUUAUUUAUUCCCAAUCAGUAAUGCUUUGCCUAAAAGUUCCUCCAGUAUAGAGUUUCUACAGAGAGUUUGCUUGGAAACUGAUUUUUAUUACAGAAGCAAUUCUUCUGUACCAUCUUUUUUCAGCACGAAAGUCAUGAUCUAUAUUUCUGUUUAACCCUUUGUCAUCAAAAUAAGAUUAUUGGCAUAUUUUCCAAUGUAAUCUAGUUUACAUUUUUAGUUAAGAAAAAUAAAAAGCUUUCAGUGUAGUGAUGACUUGUUGAAUUUCACUGCUGUCAUAAAGAUAUAUUUAUUUUCUUCAGGGUUUGUGUUGAGUUCGUCCUAUGGGGACUGUGUGCCUUCAUUUCUCCGGUGAACAUGUUGCUUUCUACAGAUUUUAAGUUUUAAAACAAAAAAUGAUUGAUCUGUAUGGCUGUAGCUUAAGUUUCCUGACGUGAGUAAGUUCAGUUGUAUUUCUAGAUCACUAGAUAGGCAUGCAUUUGCACUGAGUAUGAUGUUUCUUCACUGGAGUACAACAAAUGCAUAUGAAUUCAACAAAGUAAUUAUAAAUGUGAUUUUAAAUGAUGAAUCAGUAUUCCAGAAAUAUUGUUUCUUGAUUACUUAAUCAGCAAAUUUAUCAUUUCUUAAUGCCUUUUCAGGUUUGAUAUUUUUAGGGUCUUGAUUUUUCUACACAGAUAUUUGAAAAACUGCACCAGAAUCUACUCUAUUCAUACAGUUUAGGGCACAAGAUUUCUCUGAUAUUUGUCAGUUUGAUAUACUAAUAUAGAGGUAUAUAUAAGUAAAUACAUAUAUAGUAAUAUACAGGUGUACUUCUAUAUAUGAAAGAUAUCUGGAGGUCUUUUUGAUCUCCUGGGUAUUCCUAGUGGAUAUGUGUCUACCACAGAUAAACCAUUUUGUGGCCAUCCCUGUAAUAAAAUAGGAGCACUGAAGACAAUAAAAGCACGUCUUGUCUUGGAGGAGGUUAUUCAAAGUAGAGAUUAAGCAGAAUGGUGAGCCAACGUGAAAGGUAUAUUUUAUUAUAAAGCUUCUUCCCCCUGAUCCAAUGAUUUGAAUAAAACGGGAACAAGAAGAUUUAGCAUGCAUGGAAUCCUGGAGAGAAUUUGGGAAGGGAAGAUACACUUUCUUCUUUAUUCAUAUUCAGACAGGAUGACAGAUGCUUUGCUAUGCCAAGUCUGUUCCAGCCAAUAGAAUUUGUAUGCUGUUGCAUGCUUUUGUUUCAAACUGUUGUUGGGUAUGCCAGAGCUCUCCUGUACCUUUCUCAAAACUGCAGAAUGGUUCUUAAACAGCAGUGGCAAAGCUCCUGCUGAAUACACAUCUAUACUCAGUAUAUCUACAUCUGUGGUGUGACAUGUUAUCUAAUAAUAGUUUGUGGGAAGAGUGCUAAGAAGGAGGCAGUGUAGCAAAACUUAAACCUAGAAGAAAAUUGAGAGAUCAAAUGAUGAUUAGUGAAUCAAUCAAUAAUUAAUUUGAAUAAUUAUAUCUCUUUUCCCAUGUUAUCUGAACAAAGUCAUGACUUUCACAUAUGUGUUCUUUGACAAGUCUGGCCUUAUUUCUAGAGAUAAUCCAUACUCUGCCAAACAACUAGUAGAAGUAUCUUAAUGUAUUUUUGAUAUUGAAGAUUGAAAAAAAUUACUGAUAAGAAGUUAAAGUGAUGGGCAAACCUAUCAUGUUUGGAAUCUCGUCUGUGUUCAUUAAUGUAACUUACCACUUUGUGUUUCCAUGGUCUCUGAAAUAUUUAGCUAUUUGUUUCUAAGGCCUAUAGUUUGCAUCCUGCAAUGGGGUUCCAAUGCCUUUCUCAGUAUCACAGUGAUAAGUUCCCACCACUACAGUUAUUUUCCAUUAAUAUUAUACAAAUAUAGGAGAAACUAAUAGAAAAAUUCAUAUAUUCUUCUGUUAGUUAGGAAACACCUUUGUAAUGUAUGCAAGUUGAUGCAGUAAUGUUCAGCUGCAAACUAUGUGAGCUAUCACACAAUGUACCUGAAGGUUAACCACAGUCAAUUCAUAUAAAUUGGUUCUCACACUAGGAGUAGGCUUUCUAAGAAUUUUCUAAGAGUUCUAAGAAUCUACCAGAGUAGCCAUUUAAUAUUUGAAAAUAUAUUUGCACAAUAUAUUAUGAGCCAUUUAUCCACCUCUAUUACUGACACUUGAACAAAGAAAAAGAGAUGAGAAUUCUCUUCAUAGGAGAACUGUUCCCAAAACCCUUACUUAGUGGAAGAGAUAAGACUCCAGCAAUUGUUAUAGACAAUUCCCUUCAUUCUUCUAAUACAUUCAUUCAGAAUCAAGAUGAAGAACCCUCUUUGCCACAGAAAAUGUGUUUUAUGCAAGGCAAAUUGUUAAUAAUGACAUUUACACACACAUCAGCAGAAUUGAAGUAUCUACAUGACAUACACUCCCUAAGGUUCAGAUACCUAUUCUACUAUUGGUCUGUAAUAGAACCAAAGUAUAAUGUAUUUUUUAUAUUGUUAAAUGAAAUAAUACCAAAAACUAGGAAUUUCACUGGUAUUUAAUCAAAAAAGUCCUCAUCUGGCAAGCCUGAGAGACAAGAAAAACAACGCAGUGAAAGAUGUAAUUGCACCUAGAAUUUUCAGAGACCUCAUAAGAAAAUAAUCUCACAAAACAAUUUAACAUAAGCCAGAAGGGAAACCAUAAAUAAUGCCAUCCUCAGCUUCCUCUUUUGGAUUAUUCCAAAGCUGGAAAACAGCUUUGUCCCAUCAUGUCUACAUAUUUGCCUGAUUAGGAGUCUGGUCUAUGGGCACCAAUGAAGACCAUCACGGACAGGUCAGAUGUUAGGCAGGCUGAAUUGCUCUUUGAAGAUUCUUUUUUUUUUCUCUCCAAUGGAAGGCUCUAAAUAUAGAAGUCUUAAUUUGAUCAGCAUUUUUCCAAGAAGGAAAAAUUCUAUUCAGUAGAAAAGAAUACCCGUAAGUAUUGACAUGCUAAUCUCCUUCAAGCUGAAUUAUACUGUUGUGGUCAGCACUACAAUGGCUUGAUGUGUAUUCUGCAAGAUCUCCUGCUCUGGAGUAGUGCAACAUGAUGCAAAACCUGAACCCAUAUCCAACAUGGAGCCAGG
rnacentral:lncRNA from 1 species